GCCUUCAUGGUGUAGUGGUCAGCACGCUCGACGCCUUACCAGAGAGGUCCGUGGUUCGAUUCCCGGUGAAGGCG
rnacentral:tRNA from 1 species